AUCAGAAGAAGCGUAAAAUUAGCAUGCUGGAUACUCGCAUAAAUGCGGAGAAAUUUUUUACUAAAAUAUCCAAUAUUUCGCUCAAUGCUAACUAUCUGCUUUUUACACGUUUUUCGUGCGAAUGUUCCGAUACAAUAUUGGGAGUAUUGAUUAGGAUAUUUUAGUACCGACGCGCGGUUACUCCGGAUUGCCGGAGAAAUAAUCGAAUCGCGACGUGCAGCUGGACACGAGGAGGAAGAUGUGGGUGGACAUCCAAAAUCUCCUCUCGCAUCUCCAUAAUGAUAAGUACCGCACUAUUAUUUUUAUAUAUAAGUAAUUCGAAUAACAAACUCGAUUUAGCUAAUUUUUAAUAAUAAAUUGUAGAAGGAAAUGUUCGUUAAAGGGUUACUGCGUUGGUAUUCUCUCAUGCAGAUUCGGAGGCGACGCGCGGAGGAAGAGCCAGAAGGAGCAGCGCGAAGGGCACGUGUUGAAUUAACGCAGGAGAAGGAGGUGCCUCCAGAAAUUAUUUAGCUUUCGUCUGAUACGGAAGUAAGUACUCCCGACCCACGUGUGUUUUCGCCUA